UGGAUAGAUUAUUGCAUUCAACUGUAUUCACGGCGUGAAACAGGGGAUUAUACUGAUUUUAAAUGGAAAGUGAAUCAAUUAACAUAAUAGACUCCU
rfam:Nicotiana attenuata strain TT chromosome 7, whole genome shotgun sequence.